rnacentral:tRNA from 2 species
CAGAGAGUAGUUUAAUUGAGAAUGCCAGCUUUGGGAGUUGGUGGUAAAGGUUUGAUUCCUUUCUUUCUGA